rnacentral:sRNA from 1 species
GAAGAUCUGCCUCCUUCCUCUUCGGCUUCAUGCAUGAUCGUUAGUUUCCUGAGGCCUCCUCAGCCAUGCUUCCUGCAUAGCCUGCAGAAAUGCUGGAGUACAAUGGCACGAUCUCGACUCACCACAACCUCUGCCUCCCGGGUUCAAGCGAGUCUCCUGCCUCAGCCUCCCAAGUAGCUGGGAUUACAGAAUCUUUUAGCUGAAAAAGUAGAGCAGCUGAUGGAAUGGAGUUCCAGACGCUCAAUCUUCCGAAUGAAUGGUGAUAAAUUCCGAAAAUUUAUAAAGGCACCACCUCGAAACUAUUCCAUGAUUGUUAUGUUCACUGCUCUUCAGCCUCAGCGGCAGUGUUCUGUGUGCAGCUCAACAUGAACUCUGCUCCUACAUUCAUGCAUUUUCCUCCAAAAGGCAGACCUAAGAGAGCUGAUACUUUUGACCUCCAAAGAAUUGGAUUUGCAGCUGAACAACUAGCAAAGUGGAUUGCUGACAGAACGGAUGUUCAUAUUCGGGUUUUCAGACCACCCAACUACUCUGGUACCAUUGCUUUGGCCCUGUUAGUGUCGCUUGUUGGAGGUUUGCUUUAUUUAAGAAGGAACAACUUGGAGUUCAUCUAUAACAAGACUGGUUGGGCCAUGGUGUCUCUGUGUAUAGUCUUUGCUAUGACUUCUGGCCAGAUGUGGAACCAUAUCCGUGGACCUCCAUAUGCUCAUAAGAACCCACACAAUGGACAAGUG